UUAUAUAUAAGAGUACACUUUAGAAGUUUCAAGUACCCACGAAUAAUAUUAUACAAUUAAGGUUUAAUUGAUUCCCUCGAUAUAUUAUAUCUUCAUCGCUGUUCCUUCUUUUAACACAAGAUAUAGCUUAACAUUUAAAAACAAUUUCAGAUUGAAAAUUUAAAACAAUAUUCCACGUAAAUAGGUUAUAUAUAAAUUACUUAAGUCACCUUAAUAUCAUCAUAGUAUAGGCUGACUGAUAGUUUUCGCUAAGAAUCGUUUUUCUUAUUACAAUGAUAUUAUAUCAUUGAAUUCAAAUUUAACACCAUCCAUUACAGUGACCCACUUGUAACCCACUGUACAGCAGAGCGACAUCCACUUACCCACUUUUUUAUAAUUUAAUUGUGUAUGAAAAUAAAUAUUAAAAUAUGUACAAAUAAUGGAUUGAGGUAAUAAGUUUCUUACGAUUAAAAAAAAUUGCUUGGCAUAUAUAUUUAAUUAAAAAUUGUUUUAUAAUAAAAUAUGCUUUAAAUAAAUUAAAACAUUAUUUUUUUAAUUGCUUAAGGUUCAAUGAAAUACAUUUAGUCUAAAAAAUGACAUUCCUGAAUAGUAGUUACACUAGGAUAAUUUUAAAAUUUCACAGAUACAGCAGGAGAGACAUUUAAGUUUAAUUGGACGUUAUAUCUGAGAGAGUUAACUCGUGAUAUCCAACCGAAAAUGUAUGAAAUAUUGUCAUCAGAAAAUGCUGUAAGAUAUGAACUUUUAGUAACCAACAGAGGAUUUUUUAAAUGACACGUUUAAAUUAUUAUCUCGAACACCAACAACAAUAAUAAGUAAUAAAUAAUAAUUAAUUUGAUAAUAUUAGUUUAUGGUACAACAUGUGUGUUGGCAUAGGCGAAAUUUGGGCAGGACUUGGAGGGGCUUAGCCCCUCCAAAAAUGUAUAUUUAAAUUGAAGUAUUAAAUCCUUCAUUAAUUAUCUAAACUACAUAAUACAGUAACCGUGGUUCAAAAAAAAUUGUUUCUAAAGUUUAAAUCUGGAAAAAUAAAACAAGCCCGUACAACAACAUAAUGUUAGACCUUACUUAAGUCCCCCUAUAUUUGUAAUAUACCUGGUGUACUGCUUCUACUAUUAAAAACUAGCUAAAAAUUAAAAUUGAUAAAAAUAAAGUGUUUAGUAUUUUCAUAUUUAAAAUUUAUAAAAAUGAAUCCUUAUGUGAAAAUAAUGAACCUCUGCAGGAAGCAUUUGAAAAUAAUUCUGUUUCUGAAUUUGAUCCUGAUGAUCCACCUUUUUUACCAGAUGUACAAAAGUUGCAUUGUGUGAGUAUUGAUAUCGGGGAUAUUAUAUAAAUACAUAAAAAAUAUUAGAUAAAUUUGCGAUUUCUAGUACUUGGAAAAAUUUAGCGGAAGAUAAAGAUUGGGAAAAUCAAACGUAAGAUUUAUAUUUUGUGUUAAACGUGGGAAUUAAUAAAAACUCAAUAAUAAAAUAUAUUGUUAUGUAUAUUUUAACAUUCUGACGAUAUAAUAUUAUUUUCUACGUGGGCAGUAACUCCGGAUCAAGUAAAUGCGUACAGUUAUAAUUCAAUGAAUGCAUUUUUCAUGCUAGCAGCAAUAUUACAAACUCCGUUAUUCAACAACGGCGUACAGUGGAUGGACUCUUUAAAUACGCAUAAUAGACGGACGACCAAUUUCGGACAUGUACACAGAAAACUGCUUAAGAUCUGCUACAGCAUUAGUUGAGUCAAUGAAUAAAUCCGUAGAUCCAUGUGAAGACUUUUAUUAAUUUACUUUUUUAAAUUUCGCAAAAUGGCAUAUAAAAUACCAAAAACAGCUGUUUCAAAUGAUCUGUUUUCCGAAGUACAUGCUACAGUGUUAGUUCUUAUUAGAGAUUUUUUGGAAAGAGAUGAUAUAGACACUGAAAAUCAUUCCGUAUCGAACUCCAGACUUUUGUAUCACUCUUGCAUGGCAACAGGUAUGUUAACUUCUUAUAUUAUAACAGUAAUAACGAAUAUUAUUUAAUCAAAUCGGUGAGACAUGCCUUGUCAAAUACUAUUUUCAUAUUUGGAUAAAAUGAACACAGACGGGGGUCGGGGAUUGAGCAAUUAGUUCAGAUUUUAGACAAAAUUGGUAUAUCGGACACGGGGCUUUCCACUAAGAUAAAAUCAUCAAGUUUCUCGGCAAUGUUAGCUAGAUUAAAAAAGUUAAUCAACUUAGACUAUUUGUUCACAACAAAUGUUGAGCCAGAUACGAAAAAUCGGUCAGCCAAUCGAAUUAGUCUGGGUAAACCAAAAGAUACAAAUAUAUUUACAGUUCAUAAAAUAACAAAACACAUAAAGAAAAUUAGUUCAAGAAAAAUUACUAGAAUCUGAAGAAGAAGUAGGCAACACAAGUAAAGAAUAUGAGAACGAAAUUGAUUAUCUAAAAUCGUAUUCAAAAAUAUUUCCAAAACGCUUGGACCGAGAUUCAUAAAUUGCAAUCAAAUAAUUUUGAUACUAGUUAUCAAACUAUUGGAAUUAAAAUAUCACAACUAUUGACUUUCAUCAAUGAACAUUCAAAAAUAAAAGAAACAGUAUAUGACAAUGAUACCGAACUAUCACUUAUGACUGUUAAUGGAUUACAAAAUUAUACAAAUAAUAUUACACGGAAUUUCACUAAAUCAAACGAGCA